AGGAGGAUUAUUAAUUGGAGGAUCUGACAACAAACUGAUUUAUAGACAUUAUGCAACGUUAUAUUUUGUCUUCUGUGUGGAUUCCUCAGAAAGUGAACUUGGCAUUUUAGAUCUAAUUCAAGUUCACAAUAUUCUUGCAGAAAUGGUGAUGGGGGGAAUGGUAUUGGAGACAAACAUGAAUGAGAUUGUUACACAAAUUGAUGCACAAAAUAAGCUGGAAAAAUCUGAGGCUGGCUUAGCGGGAGCUCCAGCCCGUGCUGUAUCAGCUGUAAAGAAUAUGAAUCUUCCUGAGAUCCCAAGAAAUAUUAACAUUGGUGACAUCAGUAUAAAAGUGCCAAACCUGCCCUCUUUUAAAUAAAAAUGUAAAAAGGCCACUCCCAGGUAAAAUCCAGGGGGAAGAGUCAUCUAAGUUUACCAUGCAGUUGUUUACCAAAAAUAGAGGAGGAGAGUCUUAACUUUUGCUCUUGGAUUUAAGUCAAGGUACUGUAUAGAAGUUGUGUAAAAUCAGUAUGAAAGUUCAAUGUUGCUUUUCUUGCUCAGUGAUUUUAAAGAAAUUGAGUAGUUCCUAUGUGAUUUUUUUUUUUUUCUUUUCUAAACUGCAUUCCUGUGCCCACCUACGGCAUGCCUCUAUGUAUUGGCUACUACAGUGUUUUAAAAAGUGUUUCAGAUAUUUCUUUAAUUAUGUACAACCUAAAAUGUUGGUGUUUUGUGUGGAUCACAAGUGCAGCAUUCCUUAAUUCCUUCUGCUAUUUGUCAUACAAUUGUUAUUUAAAGAACCAAGUAUGUAUUGCAUGAAAACAUUAUGACUUUUUUCUCUUAGUUUAAAUAAACUCCAAGGUAACUGGA